GACGAACGCUGGCGGCGUGCCUAAUACAUGCAAGUAGAACGCUGAAGAGAGGAGCUUCCUCUUCUUGGAUGAGUUGCGAACGGGUGAGUAGCGCGUAGGUAACCUGCCUUGUAGCGGGGGAUAACUAUUGGAAACGAUAGCUAAUACCGCAUAACAAUGGAUGACACAUGUCAUUUAUUUGAAAGGGGCAAUUGCUCCACUACAAGAUGGACCUGCGUUGUAUUAGCUAGUAGGUGAGGUAAUGGCUCACCUAGGCGACGAUACAUAGCCGACCUGAGAGGGUGAUCGGCCACACUGGGACUGAGACACGGCCCAGACUCCUACGGGAGGCAGCAGUAGGGAAUCUUCGGCAAUGGGGGCAACCCUGACCGAGCAACGCCGCGUGAGUGAAGAAGGGUUUCGGAUCGGAAAGCUCUGCUGUAAGUCAAGAACGGGUGUGAGAGUGGAAAGUUCACACUGUGACGGUAGCUUACCAGAAAGGGACGGCUAACUACGUG
rnacentral:rRNA from 1 species